UUGUUACAUUUAGAUUUGAUGCUAAAAUCAAUAGGUCACCUCACAAGAACAUGUAUGAACAACAACAUGAGAGGUUCCUUGAGUGGGUUGCACUGAUGAGCCAAAGUUUUGCCUGAACUCUUCAGCUUCUGAGAUUAAAAGUACUAAAAUAUUUCUAAAGUUUAUUGGGACUGGAUUCUCUGACUGUAGGCAGACAAGCUCCCUCUAGAGAGGCCAUCUGUGACCUCUGGUUCUCACUUGGUCUGGGCUCAAAAUGAACGUUGUGAUUCCUAGGGGAAAACACAGACUGCCUUCCCCUCCCUGCACCCGGACACCAGCUGCCCAGACAGUGAGCAGGGCUAACAGCAUAGCUACAAGGCACAGCCUCACCUGUAUCCCUGAUUGCAACCCUGUGUCAUUGACUGCUCCAAAUCCUCUUACCAAGGAAUGGAAAGCAGACAGUCAGCAAUAAAGAUUUUUCCUUGCAGUGGGAAUCUGCCAGCUGAGGAGGUGUUCCUGGAUCCCUUGAUGCCCGUGAGGAUGUGCAGAGAGGUUUCAGGUCAGGUGGAGUUUGAAUUGCCGCAUGUGAUCACAGCACUGGUUGGUCCUGUCUCACCCACUUCUGCUCUGGAACCCCACUACAUGGUUUACAACAUUCAGGAGAGAUGCCCUGAUGAAACUGAAAGUUCACAUCUGAAUUUUCUUCCUCCUUGUUUUCUCUGUUCACCAGGAGGGUUUGGUCUCACACUUAGUGUCAUGUCGUGAUUGGAUGAUAGGUAUAUAAGAGAUGUAGGACUGGAAAACAUCAUUGGUGUAAUUCUAUCCAGCCCUCUGCUGUUGUAGAUAACUACCUUCUUCAUCUCCCUGGACAGGCUGAGAUACAUCCUACGUUCACUAGUCCUCUUGGAAAGCUGUUCCAUAACAUCCUGAUAUUAAGAUGAUACAUCAAAGCUUCGUCUUGUAAAUAAUAGUGAUAGCGUCUUUCGUCCCCUUGGUAAUGGCCUUAGAAAUCAGAGGGUAGAAAAUGCUGUAGAAAACCUAAAAGCUAAUGCAGAUGCAUGAGGAGUUGACAAGCAUCACUAGAUCUGAUUAGACCAGUUUUGAGCAGAGGAAUGGGCUUGACUUCUGGAGGUCCUUUCCAACCUAAAUUGUUCUAAAAUUCUGUGUAUACGAGCCAAUUGACAUUCUGUUGGUAUUUUGACAUUUGCAUAAUUUUAUGCUGAAGCUGGCAGUUGUAUUUGUUGGAUUCACUUAAGCAACUGCCUUGAUAUUUUUGUUAGUUUCAUUUUUUUUUCUUAGUGAAUUGAUAAAGAAAAACUUUAAAAACCAAACAGAUUAAUUAGUCAAUUCCUGCCCCAUGCCAGAUGAUAAAAUGACCAAGGUGCUCCAUUUCUGUUACCUUAACUAGUAAUGUCUCAAACCCUUUAAGAGAGGGACAUUUUAGGACCUAGGCUGGUCUCCCUUUUCUUCCACCUAGAUCACUCAAAUCCAGAGCCACUCCGCCUUACAUGUGUUCUGGUUCAGACUCCUGUCCUUGGUCUUUCUUAUUCCCUCUCCCAAGAAAUGUGUGUCAGGAACUGCUUAUUACAUGUUUGUCCACCCUCCAGAAGCUGCAAGGCAUUACAUGCUCAUGUGUGGUCCUCUCCAUGGACUGAAAGGAAAUCUGGAGUGGUAUCUGGAGCACCUGCAAGGUGAGGCUGAACAGCCUGUAGUUCCCUGGGUAUGUCCUUGUAGAAGCCCUUCUUGUUGUAUUUGAUACCCCUCA
rnacentral:lncRNA from 1 species